GUGUUCAUUUAAGCAGCAUAUAUACUAAAAUUGGAAUGAUACAUAGAAGAUUAGCAUGGCUCCUGUGCAGGGAUGACAUGCAAAUUCAUGAAGUAUUUCAUAUUUUU